GACGGCCAGGACAUGCUCGAGGUGGCCAAGCUCGCCAACAUCUUGCCGUGCGUCGCAACCCCGGAGUACCGCGACUGGCCCACCGCGCACCACACCGCCUUGGUGCUCGGCGCCGCGAACGGGUACAAGGGGAUCCUGCUGGAGGGUAAGCCCGGGCAGGUUGGUAAGGGCGGGGUGUUGGAGGAGGGCGCGCUCGCGGACCUGUCCUCCUGGGACCUCACCGCCCUCUCCAUGCUCCCCCGAACCGACCCGCUGAGCCUCCUGGUGCAGGGCAGCCGGACGCAGGCGCCGGGGGCCGGAUCCGCGCUGGACUGCGCGUGGGUCAACGGCGUGCGGGUCGUCCAGGGCGGUUCGCCGGUCAACGUCGACGUCAAAGCCCUGCGCGAGGUGCUGCGAGCCGCGCAGGGUACGUACCGGGAUCCCGCCAUCACCGACCCGAGCACCCACGAGAAGACGGCGAGAGCGGAGACGGAGUACAGGGCGGCGAUGGAUCUCGACCCGGCGGGUGCGACGGGGCUGAGGCCCGCGUACGAGUGGCCCGAGCACUGCGUGUUGUACCCGGCGUCGCAAAAUUGAGACGAACGACGACUGUCGCCCCGACCCCGAUUCUUCCGCUUCUCAGUCUGUCUCGCGGAUGAAGGGAGAAAAAGCAGUCGUGGCCAACCUGCUGCACCAAAACCACGCCAACCUUCCAAGGGAGCCAGCCCGUGACGCGGGGCUGGCUCGGGCAGUUCAAUGGCAAACCUGCUGUAAAAAACCUUCCGCACCAGUGAGAGGCGCACGCUCUAGCUGUAGCCGCCCAGUAGCUCCUAUGAUAUGCGAGUCGCACGACGACGAAAAGUUCUCACCUCUGCUCUCGCUGCUGCUCGCCCGCCCGUCCAGACAAAAAUACUGCCAAUCCAGCAGUCCACACUGCUCGAGGGAAAAAAAACGCACCAGCCGCGGCCGUUCGUCUCCCGGUUUUUCGCCGGUUUUUCGCCGCAUCGUCCCGAGCGCCGCCGACGGUCCCAUCGCGCCCCGCGCCGACGCGUCGGCGUUUCGACCGCGGCCGCUUCCUCGAGUGCGCGCUCCCCCGGUUCUAUCCC
rnacentral:lncRNA from 1 species